rnacentral:rRNA from 1 species
UACGGAAGGGGCGAGCGUUGUUCGGAAUCACUGGGCGUAAAGCGCGCGUAGGCGGCUUUGCAAGUGCGGCGUGAAAGUCCUGGGCUCAACCUGGGGACGGCGCUGCGGACUGCUUGGCUGGAGUCCGGAAGAGGGUGGUGGAAUUCCGAGUGUAGAGGUGAAAUUCGUAGAUAUUGGGGAGGAAUACCGGUGGCGAAGGCGGCCUUCUGGGCCGAUCUUGACGCUGAGACGCGAAAGCGUGGGGAGCAAACAGG